rnacentral:rRNA from 1 species
CUGCUCAGUAACACGUAGUUAACCUAACCUAUGGACGGGGAUAACCUCGGGAAACUGAGAAUAAUCCCCGAUAGAUCACGGUGCCUGGAAUGGCCUGUGGUCCAAAUGAUUUAUCGCCGUAGGAUGGGACUGCGGCCUAUCAGCUAGUUGGUGAGGUAAUGGCCCACCAAGGCUAUAACAGGUACGGGCUCUGAGAGGAGGGGCCCGGAGAUGGGUACUGAGACACGGACCCGGGCCCUAUGGGGCGCAGCAGGCGAGAAACCUUUGCAAUGUGCGAAAGCACGACAAGGUUAAUCCGAGUGUCUCCUGCUAAAGGAGUCUUUUGCCGGUCAUAGAACCACCGGUGAAUAAGGGGUGGGCAAGUUCUGGUGUCAGCCGCCGCGGUAAAACCAGCACCUCGAGUGGUCAGGAGGUUUAUUGGGCCUAAAGCAUCCGUAGCCGGCUGCUCAAGUUUUCGGUUAAAUCUAUGCGCUCAACGUAUAGGCCGCCGAAAAUACUGGGCAGCUAGGGAGUGGGAGAGGUACACGGUACUCAAUAGGAAGGGAUAAAAUCCUUUGAUCUAUUGAUGACCACCUGUGGCGAAGGCGGUGUACCAGAACACGUUCGACGGUGAGGGAUGAAAGCUGGGGGAGCAAACCGGAUUAGAUACCCGGGUAGUCCCAGCUGUAAACGAUGCAGACUCGGUGAUGCAUUGGCUUGUGGCCAAUGCAGUGCCGCAGGGAAGCCGUUAAGUCUGCCGCCUGGGAAGUACGUACGCAAGUAUGAAACUUAAAGGAAUUGGCGGGGGAGCACCACAAGGGGUGAAGCCUGCGGUUCAAUUGGAGUCAACGCCAGAAAUCUUACCUGGGGCGACAGCAGAAUGAAGGUCAAGCUGAA